CCGACUGAGAAGAGUCUGCUUCCUCCUCCCGACCCCUUGUUUCAAGGCUAGAGAUAACAGAGAAGGGAGCCACAUCUCAACAGAGGAAACCAGGAAGCAGGACCUCCGAUGCUAAGGAUUUCACCAGAGGAGGAUGAGGAUUUUGUCAUUGUCUGAAGAAAACCUUCAAGUGCCCUAAGUAACCUUCUGGCGUCUGGGAAUAGGAUCAACAACCAGGGGGAAGAUCUAAAUCGGCUAUCUGGCUCUGAACCAUCCUGAUGAAGCAUCCUGAUGAACACCAGAGGCAGCCUUGAAGGAGCAAAGACAGCACCAUAUGGCAGCCUCCCAGAACCCAAAGGCUGGAAAUCAAAUGGCUAUCCAGUCCAGGCUGGAGCAGGAAUCACUACAUAGUUAAAC